rnacentral:rRNA from 1 species
GAUCCUGGCUCAGGAUGAACGCUAGCUACAGGCUUAACACAUGCAAGUCGAGGGGCAGCAUGGUCUCAGCUUGCUAAGACUGAUGGCGACCGGCGCACGGGUGAGUAACACGUAUCCAACCUGCCGUCUACUCUUGGACAGCCUUCUGAAAAGGAAGAUUAAUACAAGAUGGCAUCAUGAGUCCGCAUGUUCAUAUGAUUAAAGGUAUUCCGGUAGACGAUGGGG